UCUGGUGACUUUAGCGAAACGGACACACCUGUUCCCAUACCGAACACAGUAGUUAAGCGUUUCAGCGCCAAAUGUAGUGCAAUUGCGCAAGACUAGGUCGUUGCCAGGC
rnacentral:rRNA from 1 species